rnacentral:rRNA from 1 species
AAGGAUCAUUGUCGAGACCCGAAUGGACGAUCGUGAACCCGUCGAUGCUCCGGCGGGUGGCAGAGGGAGGGCGGCAUCCGCUCGCUCGACCCUGCCACCCAGGAUGCCCCAUGGCCGCCCCCGCCCCGCCUUGCGACGGGACGGGUGGCGGGAACAAAUACCCGGCGCGGUGGGCGCCAAGGAGUAGUGAUGUCGGAGACCGUCGCGUGCCGGUUCCGCGCGCGCGGCGUGACCCUUCCAUACAUAUGUUAAACUUUUACGACUCUCGGCAACGGAUAUCUUGGCUCUCGCAUCGAUGAAGAACGUAGCGAAAUGCGAUACUUGGUGUGAAUUGCAGAAUCCCGUGAACCAUCGAGUCUUUGAACGCAAGUUGCGCCCGAGGCCAUCCGGCCGAGGGCACGCCUGCCUGGGCGUCAUGCCUCACGUCGCUCCGUGCACCCCGCCCCCUGGAUCGGGGAGGUGGCAGGCGCGGAUGCGGAGACUGGCCCCCCGUGCCUCGCGGUGCGGCGGGCUGAAGUGCGGGCUGCCGGUCGGGACGGAUGCGGCGAGUGGUGGACGGACACGUACGGCGCUCAGCGUCGCUUUUGCCCCCCGAUCCCAGUGGCCCAUGCAAGGAACCC